rnacentral:rRNA from 1 species
GACGAACGCUGGCGGCGUGCCUAAUACAUGCAAGUAGAACGCACAGUUUAUACCGUAGCUUGCUACACCAUAAACUGUGAGUUGCGAGCGGGUGAGUAACGCGUAGGUAACCUGCCUGGUAGCGGGGGAUAACUAUUGGAAACGAUAGCUAAUACCGCAUAAUAUUGAUUAUUGCAUGAUAAUUGAUUGAAAGAUGCUAUUGCAUCACUACCAGAUGGACCUGCGUUGUAUUAGCUAGUAGGUGAGGUAACGGCUCACCUAGGCGACGAUACAUAGCCGACCUGAGAGGGUGAUCGGCCACACUGGGACUGAGACACGGCCCAGACUCCUACGGGAGGCAGCAGUAGGGAAUCUUCGGCAAUGGACGAAAGUCUGACCGAGCAACGCCGCGUGAGUGAAGAAGGUUUUCGGAUCGUAAAGCUCUGUUGUAAGAGAAGAACGGGUGUGAGAGUGGAAAGUUCACACUGUGACGGUAUCUUAACAGAAAGGGACGGCUAACUACGUG